rnacentral:rRNA from 1 species
GACGAACGCUGGCGGCGUGCUUAACACAUGCAAGUCGAACGGAAAGGCCCUGCUUGCAGGGUACUCGAGUGGCGAACGGGUGAGUAACACGUGGGUGAUCUGCCCUGCACUUCGGGAUAAGCCUGGGAAACUGGGUCUAAUACCGGAUAGGAGCCAUUUUUAGUGUGAUGGUUGGAAAGUUUUUUCGGUGUAGGAUGAGCUCGCGGCCUAUCAGCUUGUUGGUGGGGUAAUGGCCUACCAAGGCGGCGACGGGUAGCCGGCCUGAGAGGGUGGACGGACACAUUGGGACUGAGAUACGGCCCAGACUCCUACGGGAGGCAGCAGUGGGGAAUAUUGAACAAUGGGCGCAAGCCUGAUGCAGCGACGCCGCGGGGGGGAUGACGGCCUUCGGGUUGUAAACUCCUUUCGCUAGGGACGAAGCUUUUUGUGACGGUACCUAGAUAAGAAGCACCGGCUAACUACGUG